GGGUCUUGGGAUAUUUGGGGUUAAGCGUCCUUGGGUUUAAAUAGUACUAGGCUGGGUGACCUCCCGGGAAGUCCAAAUUCAGGAGCUU
rnacentral:rRNA from 1 species